AUAGCAAUAGCUACUUGCAUCAUAGUAGAUAUGAUGCAAGAUCGACUAUGUUGAAUAAAAUUCUAGGUAGAAUUAUGAUAAUGACAUUGUCUGCCUAUGUGUCUUGACCAAAUUACGUGCCAGCAGUCGCGGUAAUACGUAGAAGACUAGUGUUAUUCAUGUUUAAUCGGUUUAAAGGGUACCUAGACGGUAGAUCAAGCUUUCUAAUAAAGGAAAAGGACUAAUUUACUAGAGUUACUUAUGAGGGGGUAUUAAAGUACUGCUGGUGUAGAGAUGAAAUUCUGUCAUACCUCUUUUCAAAAGAAAAACCAUGGCACAGGUAUAGGCGAAGGCAUCCCCUUAUGUGAUAACUGACGUUGAGGGACGAAGGCUUUGUGUAGCGAACAGGAUUAGAUACCCCAGUAGUCGAAGCAGAAAAUGAUGAAUGUCAUAGAUUAGAUAUAUAAGUUUAUUCUAUAAAUGAAAGUGUAAGCAUUCCACCUCAUGAGUAAUUUGGCAACAUUGGAACUGAAAUCAUUAGACCGUUUCUGAAACCAGUAGUGAAGUAUGUUGUUUAAUUUGAUGAUCCGCAAAAAACCUUACCACAAUUUGAAUAUUUAUAUUAUUUAUUGUUUUAUUAUUAAUAUUYUUMUCUUUUUCUUCAUCAUUAAGAAGAAAAUGAAGAAUAUUAAUAAAAAGGCWAUAAGAUAUAUUUACAAGCGUUGCACGGCUGUCUUCAGUUAAUGUCGCGAGACUUUGGUUAGUUCCAUUAAAUUAACGUAAACCCUUACUUUAUUUUUAUAUAGAGUAGUUCCCCGCUAUAUUGGAUAUGAUAAC
rnacentral:rRNA from 1 species